rnacentral:rRNA from 1 species
GACGAACGCUGGCGGUAUGCUUAACACAUGCAAGUCGAACGAGACGAAGAUGAAGUGCUUGCACGGAUUCUUUAGAAAGUGGCGAACGGGUGAGUAACGCGUGGGUAACCUGCCCUAUGGAAAGGAAUAGCCUCGGGAAACUGGGAGUAAUGCCUUAUAAUAUACAGAGAUCGCAUGGUUUUUGUAUUAAACGCUCCGGUGCCAUAGGAUGGACCCGCGUCCCAUUAGCUAGUUGGUGAGAUAACAGCCCACCAAGGCGACGAUGGGUAACCGGUCUGAGAGGGCGAACGGUCACACUGGAACUGAGACAAGGUCCAGACUCCUACGGGAGGCAGCAGUGGGGAAUAUUGCGCAAUGGGGGCAACCCUGACGCAGCAAUACCGCGUGAGUGAAGAAGGUUUUCGGAUCGUAAAGCUCUGUUAUUGGGGAAGAAAAAAGACGGUACCCAAGAAGAAAGUCCCGGCUAACUACGUGCCAGCCGCCGCCGUAAAAC